rnacentral:rRNA from 1 species
AUGGCAGCAGUCCUGCAGUUGUGCGUCGACGACCUAUGCUUUGUGUACUACAUCGCAACGGCCACAAAAUGGCCCAAGCGCCUGACCGAGAUGCUGCAGCAUGAGAAGUUGUUCACAUUUGCCGGUUUCAGCAUUGAAAGCGACAAAGAGAAGCUGAAGUUGUCCGGUAUGGAGAUCAACCCCAACAAGUUCAUCGACAUUCAGCGCAAGUGGAGAGUUCCAUACACCAGAAAAGAGUAG